CCUACAUCCUACUCUCACGUUUCACCAUAAUUGAAUGGUCAGAAAUAAAAUUUUUAGACAUAUUGUCUAUUCAGCAACAUACUUUUAUAGCUGCUGGAGAAUUUUAAGGGGAACUGCCUUUUUUGGGGAAUUUUGCCUAUCAAUUAGAAUCCUUAUGAAAGACAUGACGACGGAUGGAUUUUUAAAAUGCAUUCUAAAUAUUAAAUAAACGUAAAUAAAAGUCCGCUCCUUGGAAGUUUAUUUUAGAUCAUAAAUCCUGCCUCUCACCUGGAAAGUGUCACGGCGUGGUUUAUGGUGGAGUUUGUUUUCCCAAGAUGCAAGAGAACUGGACCGGACAUAGCGUGAAGGUUGAUACUCACACUGCUAAGGACCCCAGCAUUAGACCCUCUGCAAUAGUCUGCAUGGAGAUAGCAGGGGACAAAGAACAAGUCAACAGGACAGAAGAAACAACAAUGGAAGUAAAAGAGAGCAGGGAGGUGUUCCCUGGUGUAACGGAGCCUCACCAGUAAAGAAAUGCGGAGAUGAUCCCGACAGUCACCAGCAGCUGAAUCAUCAAGGUCAGGUAGACUUUCCUUAUGAAACCUGUUGACAGAGAAAUCCACAGUGGAAGCGUAAGGACAGGGAGAGAGGGAGAUAACAUGAGCCGGGCCGACAAGCUGUGAGAAGCAAUAAGAAGGUAGGCAUGUUUAUGAUGCACAACAUUUCAUUAAUGCCCUGCAUCCAAGCCCACUACUUUACUCUCAUUUCAAAAGAUUGGUAUUGUGCGAGAGGUGAUUGCAGCGGAGAUCCGGGAAAACAAUUUGCAGUUUUACAUCAAUUUUAACAAAACGCCACCAAGCAAACGAGGCAGUAAAUAUCGGUUAUCCUUAUUCAGCUCUGAAAGGUACAAACAAACUGUGUUUCUUUCUGUCUAUAACCCUCCAUUACUGUCGUCUCUUACGAGUUAGGAGGACUCACCUCUUCGAAUGGCACCGUCUGCAAAAACACUGUCCUCCAUGCCGGGAGAAUAGUUGGGUGGAGCUGGACCAACUGCUGCUGCUUGU